CACAUCGUUACCUCCGAUAUCCUGCCAUGUUCAUGAAUAAAAUAUAAACACACAUAAUAUGUUUUCUUUUUAUAACAAACCUUGAAAUUGUUCAUCUAUAUUCUUUUGCCUGAGAUCGAACAUUAGAAAUUCCGGUAUCGUAAUUUCGGAUCAAAACAAAAUCUCUUUCUGUUUAUGUGUAUUAAGAAUCUAAGACUAAUCAUAAUAGUUAUGAAAAAAAAAACCCUGAUAAUUUAUGAAUAAAAGCAAGAAAAACGUUGAGAGGAAAAACCUUGACGGUGAAGUCGUAGAUAG